rnacentral:misc_RNA from 1 species
UAAUAAGUGUUUAUGGCACUUCUUAAAUCCAUAUCCACCUUGUGUGCAAUGUCAGCCGUUUUCUUUAUGAAAGCGGCCAAACAUCAACUUAUUUUUUAACUGCCUGUCUGAAAACUAUUAUGAAUAAACAAUUCAAAUA